rnacentral:rRNA from 1 species
GUACACUCCUGCGGGAGGCAGCAGUGGGGAAUAUUGGACAAUGGGCGCAAGCCUGAUCCAGCCAUGCCGCGUGAGUGAUGAAGGCCCUAGGGUUGUAAAGCUCUUUCACCGGUGAAGAUAAUGACGGUAACCGGAGAAGAAGCCCCGGCUAACUUCGUGCCAGCAGCCGCGGUAAUACGAAGGGGGCUAGCGUUGUUCGGAUUUACUGGGCGUAAAGCGCACGUAGGCGGACUAUUAAGUCAGGGGUGAAAUCCCGGGGCUCAACCCCGGAACUGCCUUUGAUACUGGUAGUCUUGAGUUCGAGAGAGGUGAGUGGAAUUCCGAGUGUAGAGGUGAAAUUCGUAGAUAUUCGGAGGAACACCAGUGGCGAAGGCGGCUCACUGGCUCGAUACUGACGCUGAGGUGCGAAAGCGUGGGGAGCAAACAGGAUUAGAUACCCGAGUAGUCCCAUG